rnacentral:rRNA from 1 species
GAUGAACGCUGGCGGCGUGCCUAAUACAUGCCAGUCGAGCGAACGGACGAGAAGCUUGCUUCUCUGAUGUUAGCGGCGGACGGGUGAGUAACACGUGGAUAACCUACCUAUAAGACUGGGAUAACUUCGGGAAACCGUAGCUAAUACCGGAUAAUAUUUUGAACCGCAUGGUUCAAAAGUGAAAGACGGUUUUGCUGUCACUUAUAGAUGGAUCCGCGCUGCAUUAGCUAGUUGGUAAGGUAACGGCUUACCAAGGCAACGAUGCAUAGCCGACCUGAGAGGGUGAUCGGCCACACGGGAACUGAGACACGGUCCAGACUCCUACGGGAGGCAGCAGUAGGGAAUCUUCCGCAAUGGGCGAAAGCCUGACGGAGCAACGCCGCGUGAGUGAUGAAGGUCUUCGGAUCGUAAAACUCUGUUAUUAGGGAAGAACAUAUGUGUAAGUAACUGUGCACAUCUUGACGGUACCUAAUCAGAAAGCCACGGCUAACUACGUG